UACGGAGGGGGCGAGCGUUGUCCGAAGUUACUGGGCGUAAAGCGUGCGUAGGCGGUUUGUUAAGUCUGAUGUGAAAGCCCUGGGCUCAACCUGGGAAUGGCAUUGGAUACUGGCAACCUAGAAUGUGGUAGAGGGUGGCGGAAUUCCCGGUGUAGCAGUGAAAUGCGUAGAUAUCUGGAGGAACACCGGUGGCGAAGGCGGCAUCCUGGACCAACACUGACGCUGAGGAGCGAAAGCCAGGGGAGCAAACGGG
rnacentral:rRNA from 1 species